UACAAUUUUUCCUUCACCUUUUCAAAGAAAUUAGAAGGUUAGAAUGAGAUAGGGGUUUUGAGGUGAUUUUGGGGAGGGGUGUUGGCCGGCGGUUUUAGCCGGAGAAGCAGAGCAGCAUCGGCUGCUCGGCGAGGCAGGAGGAGGCGGCGCCGGCGCUGCUGCUGCUGCUGUGCUGUUGUCGGACGGAGCGAGGGCGUCGGCGGUGCCAGAUCUGGAAGAAAGGAGAGGCAGCGGCGCUGCAUGUUUGGCAGCAGCCCACCGGCCGCUCGCGGCCGAGGCAGGCGGAGCCUGAAGCGCGGCGGCGCAGCUGGUGGCUCACCGGAGUUUGAAGGGAGAGGGAGCGGCGGCAGAUUGAGAGGGAGAAUCGGAUGUGGUGGUGGCGAGGACGGCGGCGCGGCGGUCCUUCGGGAUGCUGCUGCUCGCUCGGCCGAUAGGAAGAAAGAAGAGGAGGCGGCAGCUGUUGCCGGUCAAGAGGGAGACGAGUGAAGGGGAGGCGGCGGCUGCUGCGGUCGACGCGGCGCCGGCGGUGGCUUCCGCUGCCGUCGACGGAGAAGAGGGAGAGAUAGAGGAGAAGAGAGAGGGCUGGGAGAAGAGAGAGAGAGAGGAGAAGAGAGAGGGCUGGGAGAAGAGAGGUCGAAGGGAAGGAGAGAGGAGGCGGAGCCGCUGGCCUCCGACGGCGGCGUGCCGUCUGGUGGCGGCGGCAAGAGGCCGAGAAGAGGAGAGGGAGAGAGGGAGAAAUGGAGGCUGCGUGUGGUGUGUGUGUGUGCGUCUGUGUGCGUGUGUGCGUGGGUGUGUGUGUGUGAUUUUGUUUUUAAUAAAGGAGAUGGGUUGUGGGCUAGGGUUUUAGUAUUGGACCAUUAAAUUUUUGGGCCUAUAUUAUAAUUCAAGAUGGGUUUGAUUUAAUAAGAGUAUUGGGCUGCAUUUUUAUUUUAGAUGUUGGGCUGAUUUAAUUUUUGUUAAAUCAUGCUUUACUUAAAAUUAUUUAGUUAAGUUCUUAGUCAACUGAAAUUUUUUUAAUAUGACUAUUUAUUUUAUUAAGUGUAAUUAUUUACCUUAUGUGAUUUUGAGAUAUGAUAUGAAUUUGCAUAGUGAAUAAUGCAAUAAUAAAUAUUUUGAUAAUUUCGAUUUUUAAGAUUUUCAAUUGAGUUUUGAAAAUCCGGGCGUAGAAUAUUAAGAUUUAGCAGCUUUGUAGAAUUGUUAGCUCGUACGAUAUUUUGCGACCUAUUAAGAUUAGAUUAUCUUGUAGGUCCACUUGUUAGAAGGUUUUAGCACAGGUAUUACAAGAAGAGAAUUGUGCAAAUUUAUCUACAGGCUUGUCCUAUCAAGGUUGAGCGGCAGGUGGUGUCGUGCGAGGCUGAGGGAGGAUGUUGCUGUAGUUUCAUAUAAUAAUUUCCGCUGCCAUAAUAUUCACUUAGGUGGAUAUCUUUUGAGAUUAACUCUUUAAAUAUUCUUAGCCUAAUUAUUAUGAACUCUUUUGGCAAUCGCAUUUUCUAGCAACUGAACCUCGCAUAUAUGUAUGUCUAAAAUGAAGUGUUAUCUUGUUGUCUCAGACCUCCGAACUUUUGAUC